rnacentral:rRNA from 1 species
UGAGGAAUUUUGCACAAUGGAGGAAACUCUGAUGCAGCGACGCCGCGUGCGGGAUGAAGGAGCUUAGCUCUGUAAACCGCUGUCGGGUGGGAAGAGAAGCCCUAGUAAGGGCUGGGACUGUACCACCAAAGGAAGCACCGGCUAACUACGUGCC